rnacentral:rRNA from 1 species
GAUGAACGCUGGCGGCGUGCCUAAUACAUGCAAGUCGAGCGAACGGACGAGAAGCUUGCUUCUCUGAUGUUAGCGGCGGACGGGUGAGUAACACGUGGAUAACCUACCUAUAAGACUGGGAUAACUUCGGGAAACCGUAGCUAAUACCGGAUAAUAUUUUGAACCGCAUGGUUCAAAAGUGAAAGACGGUCUUGCUGUCACUUAUAGAUUGAUCCGCGCUGCAUUAGCUAGUUGGUAAGGUAACGGCUUACCAAGGCAACGAUGCAUAGCCGACCUGAGAGGGUGAUCGGCCACACUGGAACUGAGAAACGGUCCAGACUCCUACGGGAGGCAGCAGUAGGGAAUCUUCCGCAAUGGGCGAAAGCCUGACGGAGCAACGCCGCGUGAGUGAUGAAGGUCUUCGGAUCGUAAAACUCUGUUAUUAGGGAAGAACAUAUGUGUAAGUAACUGUGCACAUCUUGACGGUACCUAAUCAGAAAGCCACGGCUAACUACGUG